UUGUCGCUUGAUAUGUCGUAUAUCAGUUUUCCUUUAGCUUGACAAUAGUCUCCUUAACAUUUGUUGUAGAGUAAAAGUGUUAUGCGGAUAGUAUUCACUGGGAUUGCUGGAGGAAGCCAACGAAAGAAACCUACUUCUAAACCACCGAGGUCUAUUUGUUGGCUACAGAAGCCUACUUGCUGGCCACAAUGGCUUAUUUGCUGGCCUAUCGAGGCUUAUUUAUCACCCCAGAAGGGCUUAGUUAUGAGAAAUGGAUUAACUACAUUUGUGUAUAUCUUGCGAACCCAUUGUGACAGAACAUGCUAAAGAGGUUCUUGAUCUCAGGUUAGCGGGCCUUCUCAAUAGGGAGAUUCAGUUUAUCAGCAAUGGUUUGGUGAGCUCCACUUCGUUCUAGAGUAGCCGAAUCUAGUUGUAUGUGUGACAUAGUUGUAUAGUUUUUGUAGGUAGGCCGGGGCCUUGUCCCGACCAUCAUACAGCUGCCAGAUCGUAGAGGCUCGUAGACAUACUGUACUUGUUUUGUCAGUUGUUCUUAG